rnacentral:rRNA from 1 species
GUUGUAUGGUUAAGUGACUAAGCGUACACGGUGGAUGCCUGGGCAGUCAGAGGCGAUGAAGGACGUACUAACUUGCGAUAAGCGCAGAUAAGGCAGUAAGAGCCGUUUGAGUCUGCGAUUUCCGAAUGGGGAAACCCAACUGCAUAAGCAGUUACUGUUAACUGAAUCCAUAGGUUAACAGAGCAAACCGGGGGAACUGAAACAUCUAAGUACCCCGAGGAGAAGAAAUCAACCGAGAUUCCGGUAGUAGCGGCGAGCGAACCUGGAUUAGCCCUUAAGCACUCGGUGAAGUAGGUGAACAAGCUGGAAAGCUUGGCGAUACAGGGUGAUAGCCCCGUAACCGACGCUUCAUCGAGCGUGAAAUCGAGUAGGGCGGGACACGUGAUAUCCUGUCUGAACAUGGGGGGACCAUCCUCCAAGGCUAAAUACUCCUGACUGACCGAUAGUGAACCAGUACCGUGAGGGAAAGGCGAAAAGAACCCCUGUGAGGGGAGUGAAAUAGAACCUGAAACCGUGUACGUACAAGCAGUAGGAGCACCUUCGUGGUGUGACUGCGUACCUUUUGUAUAAUGGGUCAGCGACUUAUAUUCAGUGGCAAGGUUAACCGUAUAGGGGAGCCGUAGCGAAAGCGAGUCUUAACUGGGCGCUCAGUCUCUGGAUAUAGACCCGAAACCGGGUGAUCUAGCCAUGGGCAGGUUGAAGGUUGAGUAACAUCAACUGGAGGACCGAACCGACUAAUGUUGAAAAAUUAGCGGAUGACUUGUGGCUAGGGGUGAAAGGCCAAUCAAACUCGGAGAUAGCUGGUUCUCCCCGAAAGCUAUUUAGGUAGCGCCUCGGACGAAUACUACUGGGGGUAGAGCACUGUUAAGGCUAGGGGGUCAUCCCGACUUACCAACCCUUUGCAAACUCCGAAUACCAGUAAGUACUAUCCGGGAGACACACGGCGGGUGCUAACGUCCGUCGUGGAGAGGGAAACAACCCAGACCGCCAGCUAAGGUCCCAAAGUAUUGCUAAGUGGGAAACGAUGUGGGAAGGCUCAGACAGCUAGGAUGUUGGCUUAGAAGCAGCCAUCAUUUAAAGAAAGCGUAAUAGCUCACUAGUCGAGUCGGCCUGCGCGGAAGAUGUAACGGGGCUAAGCAAUACACCGAAGCUGCGGCAAUGUCUUUUAGAUAUUGGGUAGGGGAGCGUUCUGUAAGCCGUUGAAGGUGAAUCGUAAGGUUUGCUGGAGGUAUCAGAAGUGCGAAUGCUGACAUGAGUAACGACAAAGGGGGUGAAAAACCUCCUCGCCGGAAGACCAAGGGUUCCUGUCCAACGUUAAUCGGGGCAGGGUGAGUCGACCCCUAAGGUGAGGCCGAAAGGCGUAAUCGAUGGGAAACGGGUUAAUAUUCCCGUACUUCUGACUAUUGCGAUGGGGGGACGGAGAAGGCUAGGUGGGCCAGGCGACGGUUGUCCUGGUUCAAGUGCGUAGGCUUGAGAGUUAGGUAAAUCCGGCUCUCUUUAAGGCUGAGACACGACGUCGAGCUGCUACGGCAGUGAAGUCAUUGAUGCCAUGCUUCCAGGAAAAGCCUCUAAGCUUCAGAUAGUCAGGAAUCGUACCCCAAACCGACACAGGUGGUCGGGUAGAGAAUACCAAGGCGCUUGAGAGAACUCGGGUGAAGGAACUAGGCAAAAUGGUACCGUAACUUCGGGAGAAGGUACGCUCUUGAUGGUGAAGUCCCUCGCGGAUGGAGCUGACGAGAGUCGCAGAUACCAGGUGGCUGCAACUGUUUAUUAAAAACACAGCACUGUGCAAAAUCGCAAGAUGACGUAUACGGUGUGACGCCUGCCCGGUGCCGGAAGGUUAAUUGAUGGGGUUAGCGCAAGCGAAGCUCUUGAUCGAAGCCCCGGUAAACGGCGGCCGUAACUAUAACGGUCCUAAGGUAGCGAAAUUCCUUGUCGGGUAAGUUCCGACCUGCACGAAUGGCGUAAUGAUGGCCACGCUGUCUCCACCCGAGACUCAGUGAAAUUGAAAUCGCUGUGAAGAUGCAGUGUACCCGCGGCUAGACGGAAAGACCCCGUGAACCUUUACUACAGCUUGGCACUGAACAUUGAACCUACAUGUGUAGGAUAGGUGGGAGGCUAUGAAGACGUGACGCCAGUUGCGUUGGAGCCGUCCUUGAAAUACCACCCUUGUAUGUUUGAUGUUCUAACUUAGACCCAUUAUCUGGGUUGAGGACAGUGCCUGGUGGGUAGUUUGACUGGGGCGGUCUCCUCCCAAAGAGUAACGGAGGAGCACGAAGGUGGGCUAAUCACGGUUGGACAUCGUGAGGUUAGUGCAAUGGCAUAAGCCCGCUUAACUGCGAGAAUGACGGUUCGAGCAGGUGCGAAAGCAGGUCAUAGUGAUCCGGUGGUUCUGUAUGGAAGGGCCAUCGCUCAACGGAUAAAAGGUACUCCGGGGAUAACAGGCUGAUACCGCCCAAGAGUUCAUAUCGACGGCGGUGUUUGGCACCUCGAUGUCGGCUCAUCACAUCCUGGGGCUGAAGUCGGUCCCAAGGGUAUGGCUGUUCGCCAUUUAAAGUGGUACGCGAGCUGGGUUUAGAACGUCGUGAGACAGUUCGGUCCCUAUCUGCCGUGGGCGUUGGAAGAUUGAAGGGGGCUGCUCCUAGUACGAGAGGACCGGAGUGGACGAACCUCUGGUGUUCGGGUUGUGUCGCCAGACGCAUUGCCCGGUAGCUAAGUUCGGAAUUGAUAAGCGCUGAAAGCAUCUAAGCGCGAAGCGAGCCCUGAGAUGAGUCUUCCCUGA